rnacentral:lncRNA from 1 species
UUCUUCGGCUACAAAGGAUUGCUUGUGGCUUUAUACAUAGUUUCCUGCAGCAAGAGGAGAAUCACAGCACGGAUUGCAUUUCUUCUCUUCAGCAAGGGGAAGGGGUCUGCAGCUCAUCCUCAUCAGUUCAUCUAUAACACUGAGCCAGGUGACGGGGCUGGGACUUAUCCCUGCACACAGGACCUGGUUCAUCCAUCCACAGGCGUAUCAGGAGUGGGGGACUUGUUUCUGGCUGUAGGUGUUGGAGGUAGUCACUGGAACAACAUCACCCGAAAUUUGUGUCCACUUGAAAUGCUCCGUGUUUGUAAUCGCCGAGCAAGAAUGAGCAGAUCUUGGCUUGGCAUCUCUUUCACGAUAACUGUAGCACACUGUGUGAGAAGCGAAAGAAAAGAGGGAGUUCAAAGAGAGCUGGAAGAUGGAGGCAAACAGGAAGAAUGA